CUCAGCCCCGCGGCCGCCCCUUCAGCCCCGGCGGGCACCGGCGGCAGCUCCCGCCGCCCCCAGGACGGCCCUCAUUUUGCCUUCCCAGGCUUGGCCCUCAUUUGCAAAGUCCUGCUGGCGCCAGAGUUUUCUUGUGUUCAGCCAUGGGCAGGGUUACAGUAAAUGGUUUCCUCUCGCUUCCUUCUGGGAUCCUGUGCCAGGGCAGAAGAGCCAUAACAGGACCUUCCUGGAUUCUGAGUCUGCAUUUAGGGUGAGAAUAGAAGAAAUGUAUUCAAGGUGACCCUGAUCUGCACAAGUGUUCAGCUUUCCAGCCAAAAUUUUUGGGGACCAGAAAGAGGCAAGUCCAGACUUUCAAUUAAUCUUGCUUAACAGUUCAAUUGCUACUCACAGGUCUAAUGGUCAACAGAGCCAUAUCAUCAUCUGAAUCCAACAGCACCAACCAACUUAAAAGCUGGUGCUUGGUUCAGCACUAGGUUCUCUAAA